CUUCUUGUCAUCUUAAUUAUCAA
rnacentral:snRNA from 1 species